CACAUUCUAUAAUGGAUUUCAGUCUUUUGUACAGAAAUGCAUGGUGUGCCUCAAAAGAAAGGUAAUCACUGAGGCAGAGAAAGGAGAAAUACAGACAAGAGAAAGGUAAAGCUAAAAAUGAAUGAGCACAUGUAACUCACCUCACACCUCCUGGACAAGGGCUAGUGGUGGACACAUACACCUUGUGGCUGAUAAGCCCUCCCAAGAGUGACCAGCAAUAUUCUUGGUGUUUGAUGACUGCGGAGACAUAGGAGACAUCACAAUGGGGCAAAUGUUCUAGUGGCUGUACCCCUGCCAAGGGGCAACAAUGUAUCCAGACCACAAGUCAAGCAGGAGCAGGGAUUUGCUCUGACUGGCCUUCUGUGUGAGAGCUGGCCCCUAGUUUCUCCUUUUGAAGGAGAGCAAGCAGCCGGGCACCCUGGAUAAGCCCUGUGUUGUUCAGCUCUGACUUCAUCUGCAGUGUGGAUCCAUAUCAAACAGGGGGGACCUCACGGCUGCUUUCACACAGGCAGUAACUCAGCAGGAAAUGAGAAUCAGAAACAGAAGGACAAGUGCUUGCCUUUGAUGAGUUUGACACAGGGGAUCACCCGGUGUUUCUGAAACUAGACCACUGUAGUGAACGUCAAGGUCAGGAACAAAAGGAAUCCAGGAGAAACGCAAGCCAUCAGCUAGUGAGAGGCACAUCUGAGAUGAGAAGGGCCUAGCUCUGGAUGACUUCGGAGAGGGACUCAGCUAAAUCCACAAGAAGUCCCUGUGCACUGGAGUCCUGAUCCACGAGUCUAGGGUUUAACGGAAUGCUGAUGGGAGCAAGGAGGACCCAAGGAACGACAUGGGAAAGUAUCAGAUCCACCUGCAGCAGCCGAUGGUUACAACCAAAUUCUCAUCAGUGCGUGACAGAAGAUAUUCUCCCAUAGUGUUUGAUAUCCAAUGCUACAGAGCAAAGUGGGGGCUUAUGUCUAUGCCACUUCACUGACGGCAAAGUGGCCAUUGGGACAAAGUAGUGGUGGAAUAUUUCAAAAGCAAACUCAAGGAAAAGCUACAGUUUCAAGCAAAGAUUCUUGGCUGGUCCCUGACUUGAGUUCCUUCUCCCUAGGAAGACUGGAAUCUAAUUUCUGGAAGAUUGGCAUGGAAAGGAGGCAGGAAUUGUUAAAAAAAAAAAAAAAAAAAAAAACGG